rnacentral:miRNA from 1 species
GACUUCACUGAAUACAAAUAUUAGUGUUUCAAAACAGCAAAAUGUAUUACAAUGAUGACAUCGUCAGUGAAAGUGCCAUUUUUUGCAUUUUUCACACACAAAUGGCACUUACACUGAUGAUAUAAUUGUUGUGAUACUUUUAUGGUUUUGAAACUCUAAUAUUUGUGUUCAGCGAAGUC